AACUCCAGAUUUCACGGUGGCCUCACUACUAUUUUGGGCCGGUCUGGACGAAAGGAUCUCCAAAACCCCACCCCGACCAAGCUUUGUGUAAGCAAUCCGGACUUGGGACACUGUCUGACACGAAAUCCUCCUGAAGAAGACUCAAACCAGAGAGUCGAAACGUCGAGUAAUUUUGAAAAAACGGUGUUUCAUUUGCCCCGACUGUCACAGCCAACAAAAAGCAGAACCAGAAUCUACAGUCGUUAAA